AGUGAACGCUGGCGGUAGGCCUAACACAUGCAAGUCGAACGGCAGCACAGUAAGAGCUUGCUCUUACGGGUGGCGAGUGGCGGACGGGUGAGGAAUACAUCGGAAUCUACUUUUCGUGGGGGAUAACGUAGGGAAACUUACGCUAAUACCGCAUACGACCUACGGGUGAAAGCAGGGGAUCUUCGGACCUUACGCUAUUGAAUGAGCCGAUGUCGGAUUAGCUAGUUGGCGGGGUAAAGGCCCACCAAGGCGACGAUCCGUAGCUGGUCUGAGAGGAUGAUCAGCCACACUGGAACUGAGACACGGUCCAGACUCCUACGGGAGGCAGCAGUGGGGAAUAUUGGACAAUGGGCGCAAGCCUGAUCCAGCCAUACCGCGUGGGUGAAGAAGGCCUUCGGGUUGUAAAGCCCUUUUGUUGGGAAAGAAAAGCAGCAGGUUAAUACCCCGCUGUUCUGACGGUACCCAAAGAAUAAGCACCGGCUAACUUCGUG
rnacentral:rRNA from 1 species